CCUACGGGAGGCAGCAGUGGGGAAUAUUGCACAAUGGGCGGAAGCCUGAUGCAGCGACGCCGCGUGAGGGAUGAAGGCCUUCGGGUUGUAAACCUCUUUCAGCAGGGACGAAGCGUGAGUGACGGUACCUGCAGAAGAAGCACCGGCUAACUACGUGCCAGCAGCCGCGGUAAUACGUAGGGUGCGAGCGUUGUCCGGAAUUACUGGGCGUAAAGAGUUCGUAGGCGGUUUGUCGCGUCGUUUGUGAAAACCCGGGGCUCAACUUCGGGCUUGCAGGCGAUACGGGCAGACUUGAGUGUUUCAGGGGAGACUGGAAUUCCUGGUGUAGCGGUGAAAUGCGCAGAUAUCAGGAGGAACACCGGUGGCGAAGGCGGGUCUCUGGGAAACAACUGACGCUGAGGAACGAAAGCGUGGGUAGCAAACAGGAUUAGAUACCCUGGUAGUCCACGCCGUAAACGGUGGGCGCUAGGUGUGGGUUCCUUCCACGGAAUCUGUGCCGUAGCUAACGCAUUAAGCGCCCGCCUGGGGNGUACGCGCAGANAACACAAGAUAGAGCNGNGAGNGCGAGCGACGACGAGGAGAG
rnacentral:rRNA from 1 species